ensembl:snRNA U6 U6 spliceosomal RNA
GUGCUCACUCCAGCAACAUAGAUACUAAAAUUGGAACUGUUCAGAGAAGGUUAAUAAGGCCCCUGAGCAAAGGCAAGCCACUGAUUUUCUAUUAGCAUUCUGAGUUUUG